GAUGAAGAACGCAGCGAAAUGCGAUACGUAAUGUGAAUUGCAGAAUUCAGUGAAUCAUCGAGUCUUUGAACGCACAUUGCGCCCUCUGGUAUUCCGGAGGGCAUGCCUGUCCGAGCGUCGUUGCUGCCCUCAAGCACGGCUUGUGUGUUGGGCCCCGUCCUCCUUCCGGGGGACGGGUCCGAAAGGCAGCGGCGGCACCGCGUCCGGUCCUCAAGCGUAUGGGGCUUUGUCACUCGCUUUGUAGGCCUGGCCGGCGCUUGCCGAUCAACCAAACUUUUUAUCAGGUUGACCUCGGAUCAGGUAGGGAUACCCGCUGAACUUAAGCAUAUCAAUAAGCGGAGGA
rnacentral:misc_RNA from 1 species